GAUCCUGGCUCAGAUUGAACGCUGGCGGCAGGCUUAACACAUGCAAGUCGAACGGUAACAGGAGAGAGCUUGCUUUCUUGCUGACGAGUGGCGGACGGGUGAGUAAUGCUUGGGAAUCUGGCUUAUGGAGGGGGGAUAACGACGGGAAACUGUCGCUAAUACCGCGUAGAGUCGAGAGACGAAAGUGCGGGACCGCAAGGCCGCAUGCCAUAGGAUGAGCCCAAGUGGGAUUAGGUAGUUGGG
rnacentral:rRNA from 1 species